rnacentral:rRNA from 1 species
AGAGUUUGAUCCUGGCUCAGAAUCAACGCUGGCGGCGUGCCUCAGACAUGCAAGUCGAACGCGAAAGUUUCCUUCGGGAAACAAGUAGAGUGGCGCACGGGUGAGUAACACGUAGGUAAUCUACCUUCGGAUGGGGAAUAACAACCGGAAACGGUUGCUAAUACCGCAUAAUGCAGCGGCACCUAAUGGUGACAGUUGUUAAAGCGGGGGAUCGAAAGACCUCGCGUCUGAAGAGGAGCCUGCGGCGGAUUAGCUAGUUGGUAAGGUAAUGGCUUACCAAGGCUACGAUCCGUAACCGGCCUGAGAGGGCGGUCGGUCACACUGACACUGACAUACGGGUCAGACUCCUACGGGAGGCAGCAGUCGGGAAUUUUGGGCAAUGGGCGAAAGCCUGACCCAGCAACGCCGCGUGAAGGAUGAAAUCCCUCGGGAUGUAAACUUCGCAAGAACGGGAAGAAUAAGCGAGAGUUAAUAUCUUUCGUGAUGACGGUACCGUUUGUAAGCUCCGGCUAACUCCGUGCCAGCAGCCGCGGUAAUACGGGGGGAGCAAGCGUUGUUCGGAUUUACUGGGCGUAAAGGGCGCGUAGGCGGCCAGCGCAAGUCAGUUGUGAAAUCUCCGAGCUUAACUCGGAAAGGUCAACUGAUACUGCGCGGCUAGAGUGCGGAAGGGGCAACUGGAAUUCUUGGUGUAGCGGUGAAAUGCGUAGAUAUCAAGAGGAACACCUGCGGCGAAGGCGGGUUGCUGGGCCGACACUGACGCUGAGGCGCGAAAGCCAGGGGAGCGAACGGGAUUAGAUACCCCGGUAGUCCUGGCCUUAAACGAUGAAUGCUUGGUGUCUGGGGUUAUAAAGUCCCCGGGUGCCGUCGCUAACGCUUUAAGCAUUCCGCCUGGGGAGUACGGUCGCAAGACUGAAACUCAAAGGAAUUGACGG